AUUGAAUGCUGGCGGCAUGCCUUACACAUGCAAGUCGAACGGUAACAGGUCUUCGGAUGCUGACGAGUGGCGAACGGGUGAGUAAUACAUCGGAACGUGCCUAGUAGUGGGGGAUAACUACUCGAAAGAGUGGCUAAUACCGCAUGAGAUCUACGGAUGAAAGCAGGGGAUCGCAAGACCUUGUGCUACUAGAGCGGCCGAUGGCAGAUUAGGUAGUUGGUGGGAUAAAAGCUUACCAAGCCGACGAUCUGUAGCUGGUCUGAGAGGACGAUCAGCAACACUGGGACUGAGACACGGCCCAGACUCCUACGGGAGGCAGCAGUGGGGAAUUUUGGACAAUGGGCGCAAGCCUGAUCCAGCAAUGCCGCGUGCAGGAUGAAGGCCUUCGGGUUGUAAACUGCUUUUGUACGGAACGAAAAGCCCUGGGUUAAUACCCUGGGGUCAUGACGGUACCGUAAGAGUAAGCACCGGCUAACUACGUGCCAGCCGCCGCCGUAA
rnacentral:rRNA from 1 species